UGCAGUCGACGAGAAGUGGAGCAAUCCAUGAGUAAAGUGGCGCACGGGUGAGUAACACGUGACAACCUACCCCUUGAGUGGGGAAUAACCUCGGGAAACCGGGGCUAAUACCGCAUAACACCUUCGGGUCAAAGGAGCAAUUCGCUUAAGGAGGGGGUCGCGGCUGAUUAGCUAGUUGGUGGGGUAAUGGCCUACCAAGGCAAUGAUCAGUAUCCGGCCUGAGAGGGCGCACGGACACACUGGAACUGAAACACGGUCCAGACUCCUACGGGAGGCAGCAGUGGGGAAUUUUGCACAAUGGGGGAAACCCUGAUGCAGCAACGCCGCGUGGAGGAUGAAGUCCCUUGGGAUGUAAACUCCUUUCGACCGGGACGAUUAUAACGGUACCGGUGGAAGAAGCCCCGGCUAACUCUGUGCCAGCAGCCGCGGUAAUACAGAGGGGGCAAGCGUUGUUCGGAAUUAUUGGGCGUAAAGGGUGCGUAGGCGGUGCGGUAAGUCUUCUGUGAAAUCUCCGGGCUCAACUCGGAGCCUGCAGGAGAAACUGCCGUGCUUGAGUAUGGGAGAGGUGAGUGGAAUUCCUGGUGUAGCGGUGAAAUGCGUAGAUAUCAGGAGGAACACCUGUGGCGAAAGCGGCUCACUGGACCAUAACUGACGCUGAGGCACGAAAGCUAGGGGAGCAAACAGGAUUAGAUACCCUGGUAGUCCUAGCCCUAAACGAUGAUUGCUUGGUGUAGCAGGUACCCAAUCCUGCUGUGCCGCAGCUAACGCGUUAAGCAAUCCGCCUGGGGAGUACGGUCGCAAGGCUG
rnacentral:rRNA from 1 species